rnacentral:rRNA from 1 species
UACGUAGGGGGCAAGCGUUGUCCGGAUUUAUUGGGCGUAAAGAGCGUGUAGGCGGCCAGACAGGUCCGUUGUGAAAACUCGAGGCUCAACCUCGAGACGUCGAUGGAAACCGUCUGGCUAGAGUCCGGAAGAGGAGUGUGGAAUUCCAGGUGUAGCGGUGAAAUGCGUAGAUAUCUGGAGGAACACCGGUGGCGAAGGCGGCAUCCUGGACCGACACUGACGCUGAGGAGCGAAAGCCAGGGGAGCAAACGGG